rnacentral:rRNA from 1 species
UACGAAGGGUGCAAGCGUUACUCGGAAUUACUGGGCGUAAAGCGUGCGUAGGUGGUUUGUUAAGUCUGAUGUGAAAGCCCUGGGCUCAACCUGGGAAUUGCAUUGGAUACUGGCAGGCUAGAGUGCGGUAGAGGGUAGUGGAAUUCCCGGUGUAGCGGUGAAAUGCGUAGAGUAUCGGGGAGGAACACCUAUGGCGAAAGCAGCUGCCUGGGCCUUUACUGACGCUAAGGACUCGAAAGCUAGGGGAGCAA